CAAUUAAACAGAGGCCCGACAACUGGCCCUGAAUUGGGCCAGAUAGUGGCCUCUAUCUCCUAGCCUGUGAUUGGCUGGCGGCUGAGACACUGAUGUCAGCCUCACUUUGAUGGGGCGCGAGCGCUGCUCUCCUAUUGGCCGUUUGGGAGUG